rnacentral:rRNA from 1 species
GACGAACGCUGGCGGCGUGCUUAACACAUGCAAGUCGAACGGAAACGCCCUGCUUUUGUGGGGUGCUCGAGUGGCAAACGGGUGAGUAACACGUGAGUAACCUGCCCUUGAUUUUGGGAUAACUUCAGGAAACUGGGGCUAAUACAGGAUCGGAGCUCAUGUUCCAUGGUUGGGGUGGGAACGUCUCGGCGGUUGGGGAUGGACUCGCGGCUUAUCAGCUUGUUGGUGGGGUAGUGGCUUACCCAGGCUUUGACGGGUAGCCGGCCUGAGAGGGUGACCGGCCACAAUGGGACUGAGAUACGGCCCAGACUCCUACGGGAGGCAGCAGUGGGGAAUAUUGCACAAUGGGCGGAAGCCUGAUGCAGCAACGCCGCGUGCGGGAUGACGGCCUUCGGGUUGUAAACCGCUUUCGCCUGUGACGAAGCGUGAGUGACGGUAAUGGGUAAAGAAGCACCGGCUAACUACGUG